GACGUAGGGCGCGAGCGUUGUCCGGAUUUAUUGGGCGUAAAGAGCUCGUAGGCGGUUUGUCGCGUCGUCCGUGAAAACUCACAGCUUAACUGUGAGCUUGCGGUCGAUACGGGCAGGCUAGAAUUCGGUAGGGGAGACUGGAAUUCCUGGUGUAGCGGUGAAAUGCGCAGAUAUCAGGAGGAACACCGGUGGCGAAGGCGGGUCUCUGGGCCGAUAUUGACGCUGAGGAGCGAAAGCGUGGGGAGCGAACAGG
rnacentral:rRNA from 1 species